rnacentral:snoRNA from 1 species
GUGAAGUGAUGACAAAGUUUAUCCAUUCUCUGAGUGCAGUGGUGCUGCCCUCCUGCAGCACCCCGAUUCCUGUCCUAGGGUCUGGGUGCUGUGCAGCCUCCAGAGACCCUCCAGUCUCACGGUGUCCUACUGGGGGCUGCUGUGGUGUGUGGCUGGCUGCCUGCAGGGGGGGAGGGGGGGCGGCAGGGGUGGGG